UCGAUCAGAGAUCAUUUCCACUUGUGUGCCGCUUCUCAUGAUAAAUAAGAAACCCAUCAGAGAAGUAUCCUCGUGGGAAAACAGCCCAAUGGUGGGUGAUACUAACUUCUAUCUUUCUAGAUCAUCGAGAUUUUAUACAGAUAGGCAACACCAUUGCACUGGAUAAUGACGGCUCCGACCCUCAGAAUCUUUCACAAUCUGAGUUGAUCAUAAUUUUACCAUACCAUGAAGCAUGAAGUAAAAUGCCUGUGAGAAGUUUCAUGCGCAAUCUGGAAUGAGAACUGCUAUACAGAAUUUCAUAAUUCAAAAAAUUACAAGUGGUGAUAAUGGCUUGCAUGUUGCGGCACCUGAAGAUUUCAAAUCUCUACUCACAGGUUGUCAAGCCUAGUACUGGGAAGUGAGAGUGGAUUUCUUCUUCCCUUUCAUGCUUCCCCGAACAACAGGACCCUCAGAGAGUACUGCCCAGGAGCCACGACAGUGAAUCCAAUGGUGGACAGUGACAAGAAGGAUCAAGAGAGAAUCUUCUCACGGCCCAUUCCUUAACAGGGAAUGUCCCAUGUCAGCUGGAUAGUCCUGGGGACCACUGGUGAUAAAGGGUGUCCAUGGCAAAACUACGCAGACAGUGAAAAGCCCAGUGGUUGUCAGGGACGUGGGGAGG